UACGUAGGCAGCAAGCGUUGUUCGGAGUUACUGGGCGUAAAGGGUGCGUAGGCGGCUCUGUAAGUAUGGUGUGAAAUCUCCCGGCUUAACUGGGAGGGUGCGCUAUAGACUGCGGGGCUCGAGUGUGGGAGAGGAAAGUGGAAUUCCUGGUGUAGCGGUGAAAUGCGUGGAUAUCAGGAGGAACACCGGUGGUGUAAACGGCUUUCUGGACCAUAACUGACGCUGAGGCACGAAAGCGUGGGUAGCAAACAGG
rnacentral:rRNA from 1 species